CGCCUGCCCUGUGGAACCCUUAACGGCCGCGGUACAAAACCGUGCAAAGGUAGCACAAUCACUUGUCCCUUAAAUGAGGACCCGUAUGAAAGGCAACAUGAGAGAAAACCUGUCUCCUAAGGCCAGCCAAUGAAAUUGAUCUAUCAGUACAAAAGCUGAUAUAAUUAAGCAAGACAAAAAGACCCUAUGGAACUUUAACGAAUUACUUACUUACCAAAUAAGCAAUAGUUUCAGUUGGGACAACUUUAGAAAAAAUAAACCUCUAACAUCACUAUAUUGACCAACAAGUCUCCGACAUACAAGACCCAGUAACACUGACAAACGAAACAAGCUACCCUAGGGAUAACAGCGCUACCUUCUCAAAGAGUCCAUAUCAACAAGAAGAUCUACGACCUCGAUGUUGGAUCAGGGUACCCAGACGGUGCAGCAGCUGUCAAUGGUUCGUUUGUUCAACGAUUAACACCCUACGUGAUCUGAGUUCAGACCGGA
rnacentral:rRNA from 1 species